GGCUGUGUAGUGUAGCGGUUAUCACUUUAGAUUCUGAUGAGGCCGCAUAUGAGUUUGAAUUCUGGCGACCCCGGUUUGAUUCCGGGCAUGGCCU